rnacentral:misc_RNA from 1 species
GAUGAAGAACGUAGCGAAAUGCGAUAAGUAAUGUGAAUUGCAGAAUUUAGUGAAUCAUCGAAUCUUUGAACGCAUAUUGCGCCCGCCAGCACUCUGGCGGGCAUGCCUGUUCGAGCGUCAUUUCAACCCUCAGGCCUCGCGUCUGGCGUUGGGGCGCUGCGGCCCUCCGCAGGCCCCCAAAUCUCGCGGCGGAUCCGCCGCGGCCCUGAGCGCAGUAGUUUGACUCGAACGCUCCGGCGGCCGUGGCGCGGUUCUGCCUCCCGCCCCAUAGCGCCGAUGGCGCUACUCCCAAAAGUUGACCUCGGAUCAGGUAGGACUACCCGCUGAACUUAAGCAUAUCAAUAAGCGGAGGA